AUUGAACGCUGGCGGCAGGCCUAACACAUGCAAGUCGAGCGGAUGAAGGGAGCUUGCUCCUGGCUUCAGCUGCGGACGGGUGAGUAAUGCCUAGGAAUCUGCCUUGUAGUGGGGGAUAACGUCCGGAAACGGGCGCUAAUACCGCAUACGUCCUGAGGGAGAAAGUGGGGGAUCUUCGGACCUCACGCUAUCAGAUGAGCCUAGGUCGGAUUAGCUAGUUGGUGGGGUAAAGGCCUACCAAGGCGACGAUCCGUAACUGGUCUGAGAGGAUGAUCAGUCACACUGGAACUGAGACACGGUCCAGACUCCUACGGGAGGCAGCAGUGGGGAAUAUUGGACAAUGGGCGAAAGCCUGAUCCAGCCAUGCCGCGUGUGUGAUGAAGGUCUUCGGAUUGUAAAGCACUGUAAGUUGGGAGGAAGGGAAGUAAGUUAAUACCUUGCUGUUUUGACGGUACCAACAGAAAAAGCACCGGCUAACUUCGUG
rnacentral:rRNA from 1 species